rnacentral:rRNA from 1 species
GUGGGGAAUUUUGGACAAUGGGCGCAAGCCUGAUCCAGCAAUGCCGCGUGCAGGAAGAAGGCCUUCGGGUUGUAAACUGCUUUUGUACGGAACGAAACGGUCCGGGUUAAUACCCUGGGCUAAUGACGGUACCGUAAGAAUAAGCACCGGCUAACUACGUGCCAGCAGCCGCGGUAAUACGUAGGGUGCAAGCGUUAAUCGGAAUUACUGGGCGUAAAGCGUGCGCAGGCGGUUUUGUAAGACAGGCGUGAAAUCCCCGGGCUCAACCUGGGAAUUGCGCUUGUGACUGAAAGGCUGGAGUGCGGCAGAGGGGGAUGGAAUUCCGCGUGUAGCAGUGAAAUGCGUAGAUAUGCGGAGGAACACCGAUGGCGAAGGCAAUCCCCUGGGCCUGCACUGACGCUCAUGCACGAAAGCGUGGGGAGCAAACAGGAUUAGAUACCCGAGUAGUCC